rnacentral:tRNA from 1 species
GCCUUCUUAGCUCAGUGGUAGAGCGCGUGGCUUUUAACCAUGUGGUCGUGGGUUCAAUCCCCACAGACGGUG